CAAUCCUCCCCCGUUAGCCUCCCAAGGCAUGAGCCACUGCGCCUGGCUCUUUUUCUUUCUUAUUUUCAAUUUGUACUGCCUUUACAGCAGCAGUGUAGGUAGCGCCUCCUGAAGAAAUGCAAGUUGAAAAGGGGAACAUAUUAUUUCCCAGUCUCCAGAAGAAACGCAGUCCUGCCGGUAUCCUGAUUUUAGCCCAGUGAAGCCAAUUUUGGACUUCCGACCUUCAGAACUAGAUGGGGUUUCACCAUGUUGGUGAAAGAUUCUCCCGAGGCCUGAAAGCUUGAAGGGAUGAGUAACUCCUCCCUUCUCAGGCACAGUCCCAGGGCGCAAAGCCACUUGCACCAGCAGCCUGCGUCAGCAAGAUAGCAGAAGCAGGAAGAGAGCUGGCCAGAAGACACCUACCCUUGAAGAUUGAGAAAGAGGCCAUCCAGG
rnacentral:lncRNA from 1 species